rnacentral:rRNA from 1 species
GACGAACGCUGGCGGCGUGCCUAAUACAUGCAGGUAGAACGCACAGUUUAUACCGUAGCUUGCUACACCAUAGACUGUGAGUUGCGAACGGGUGAGUAACGCGUAGGUAACCUGCCUGGUAGCGGGGGAUAACUAUUGGAAACGAUAGCUAAUACCGCAUAAUAUUAAUUAUUGCAUGAUAAUUAAUUGAAAGGUGCAAUUGCACCACUACCAGAUGGACCUGCGUUGUAUUAGCUAGUAGGUGAGGUAACGGCUCACCUAGGCGACGAUACAUAGCCGACCUGAGAGGGUGAUCGGCCACACUGGGACUGAGACACGGCCCAGACUCCUACGGGAGGCAGCAGUAGGGAAUCUUCGGCAAUGGACGAAAGUCUGACCGAGCAACGCCGCGUGAGCGAAGAAGGUUUUCGGAUCGUAAAGCUCUGUUGUAAGAGAAGAACGGGUGUGAGAGUGGAAAGUUCACACUGUGACGGUAUCUUACCAGAAAGGGACGGCUAACUACGUG